rnacentral:lncRNA from 1 species
AGCACUCAAAGAGAGUGGUGCUGCACAGGUAAAAACUAAUCCCAGAUCUGGAACUAUGAAUGAAAAUCUCUCCUGAGAAAGUGAGGUUUUCAGAUUGCUGUUUUUCAAUUACUUGUACCACUGUGAAGAUUUGGGGCUGGGGAGAGAGGAAGGGCUUGGUUCUGCUAGAGCCCUAGUCUCCCUGCUUCCUCACCCAGUUUACACCAUGUUGUUCCACACCCAGAUUAUGACUCUUUUUCUCAAACUGCCAACAAAUGAGAAUGUAACAUCCAAAAUUUAUUUCGGUUUUUGUUUUUCCUUCCCCACACCACUUCUCCUCUAUCUCCAGGGCAAACACCACACAUGAAACAGGAGAGAAAGUCUCACUUCUGCUCUUUUUAUACCAUAUAGCAUGGAUUUCAUUGUGGACUGCUCUUGCUGAAGCCGCUUGUUUCUGGGAAUCUACUGAAGUCCAUUAAGGAGAAGGCUAAUCUGCCACGCAUAUCUCUUAAUGCAGUUUUCUUGUAAAAUGAGCUGAACAGAAUCAGAUAAUAGAAAUGGUCUCCUACACAGGUUUUCGUAAGCAGGGUGUAAGCUGUACUCCAUCAGACCCUGUCUCACUGAAGAAUAGGAAACAUGGAUGUGAAGACAGAGAAAUAAUUGUCUACAAAGGUCAUAAGAUAACAAAGAUCUUGACUGGCUUGCAAGUCUGAUUGGCAACCAAGAUGUGCUAUGCUGCAACUUCACUUCAUUUCAUUUGGAGGCCUACCAAGGCUAGAAGACAAGCAGAAGGUAACGUGAGGCAAGAAUAAACUGAAGAACACCACAAAGAGAAAAUGUAAU